UUGAAAUGGGUUGGUUUAAUCUUGCCUCAAAUGCAACCAUUAUUUACUUUUCUUUUAUUGUUUAUACAUCAGCUAUAUGCUUGUUGAUUAAAUGAAGUACAAUUUUUAAAACAUGUUUUUUAUUCCAGUGAAUGGUCCAGAUUCACAGGAGAAUAUUCAAGUCCCUUCAAAUCGUUGACAAACUUCUAUCCGUCAACACCACCCUGGACAACUGGAAAACCCUUAGAAU